AUUGAACGCUGGCGGCAUGCUUUACACAUGCAAGUCGAACGGCAGCGCGGGCUUCGGCCUGGCGGCGAGUGGCGAACGGGUGAGUAAUGCAUCGGAACGUGCCCAGUAGUGGGGGAUAGCCCGGCGAAAGCCGGAUUAAUACCGCAUACGACCUGAGGGUGAAAGCGGGGGACCGAAAGGCCUCGCGCUAUUGGAGCGGCCGAUGUCGGAUUAGCUAGUUGGUGGGGUAAAGGCUUACCAAGGCGACGAUCCGUAGCUGGUCUGAGAGGACGACCAGCCACACUGGGAACGGAAACACGCCCCGACCCCCACGGGGGGCACGAGGGGGGAAUUUUGGACAAUGGGGGCAACCCGUAACCCGCCAAGCCGGGGGCGGGAAAGAGGCCUUCGGGUUGUAAACCGGUUUUGUUCGGGAAAAAAUCCCCUGGGCUAAUACCCCGGGGGGAAGAAGGUACCGGAAGAAUAAGCAACGGCUAACUACGU
rnacentral:rRNA from 1 species